ACAUGUACAGCUUGCGAACUUGUCAUUUGAAUCUGUUCGUCAGUUCGUGCACUAAGAUUAUCCGGAAAAAUUUGAAACGAUUUGUGAAGUAUGAGUCGAAUAUCUCCUCGAAACCAAGUUCAGACUUGAACUUAUUUCUAUUCAACGACAAAUGAUCAUCAAAUGCGAUCGAGAAAUAUUGAACAAAUGUUGGUGGUUUAUAUUCACUACGAUGGUGGACAGGUUUAACUAAAGAAGUUGAUAAUUGUUCACGAAGAAGACGGUUUGGCAUUUGCUAAUUAUUCCCAGAGGCUGAGCUACACAUAAUAACAAAUAAUUUAACACUGAAUGAAUUGUUCAUAAAACUCUCAGAACAAAGAUUAACAAUGGACAAUAUAUUCUCUGAUGAAGUUAGCAAACACUUCCAUUCAAGGUGUAGUUAUAAAUGACAAUUUAAACUACGAAA